rnacentral:rRNA from 1 species
GAUAAACGCUGGCGGCGUGCCUAACACAUGCAAGUCGAACGGGGUAAUUUCUUUCGGGAGAUUACUUAGUGGCGAACGGGUGAGUAACGCGUGAGGAACCUGCCUUUCAGUGGGGGACAACAUCCCGAAAGGGGUGCUAAUACCGAAUGUGACAGCAAUCUCGCAUGAGGAUGCUGUGAAAGAUGGCCUCUAUUUAUAAGCUAUCGCUAGAGGAUGGGCCUGCGUCUGAUUAGCUAGUUGGUGGGGUAAUGGCCUACCAAGGCGAUGAUCAGUAGCCGGUCUGAGAGGAUGAACGGCCACAUUGGGACUGAGACACGGCCCAG